ACUUAGGUCUCUCAGGUUAGGACAGGGAGUGUCUUUACCCAUCUGUGCAGGUGCAUCUGUUAAACUUAGGUCUCUCCUCAACCUGGCUGCCUGCCAUCGUUCCAAGAACGUGUGGUCCCUGCUACGCACGAAGGAAUACAAGGAAAUCUGAGGGUACCGAGACUCUCAGAAAGGCAUUGAGAUGCCAGAAGAGUCUGUACCCACACUUGACUUUAAAAUGCAUUUGUUUCCUACACUUAACAUGCUUGCACCCUCUGCUAGAAAGCCUGAAGGCAGGAAGAGAGUAAGAUUUGGGUGAUUAAAUUAUUUAUUUAUUCAUUAUUUUCUGUAUACAUAUACGUGUUUAUUUGGUUUCCACUUUGUGCCUUCACAAGGUGAUUAAAUUAUCUAAAGUCACUGAUGACGGCAGCACUUGAGAGUGCAUUCCAGUCUGUUCCAUCCAAAGGAUUAUCUGGAAAAUUCCCUUCCUUUAGACUCCAGGAUCCAAC